rnacentral:rRNA from 1 species
UGAGGAAUAUUGCACAAUGGGGGGAACCCUGAUGCAGCAACGCCGCGUGGAGGAUGAAGGCUUUUGGGUCGUAAACUCCUUUUCUGCGGGAAGAGGAAGGACGGUACCGCAGGAAUAAGUCACGGCUAACUACGUGCCAGCAGCCGCGGUAACACGUAGGUGACAAACGUUAUCCGGAAUUACUGGGCGUAAAGCGCGCGCAGGCGGUCGGACAAGUUUGGCGUGAAAGCUCUCGGCUUAACCGGGAGAGGUCGUCGAAAACUGUUUGGCUUGAGGCAGUGAGAGGGGUGUAGAAUUCCAGGUGUAGUGGUGGAAUGCGUAGAUAUCUGGAGGAAUACCAGUGGCGAAAGCGGCACCCUGGCAUUGACCUGACGCUGAAGUGCGAAAGCGUGGGGAGCGAACG